GAUUAACACUGGCGGCAUGCCUAAUACAUGCAAGUCGAACGAGAUAGCAAUAUCUAGUGGCGAACGGGUGAGUAACACGUAUCCAAUCUACCCUUUAGUUGGGGAUAACUAGUCGAAAGACUGGCUAAUACCGAAUAUAAUCAUUUGGCCGCAUGGCUGAAUGAUAAAAGAUGCCUCAAAGCAUCGCUAUUGGAUGAGGGUGCGGCGUAUUAGAUAGUUGGUGAGGUAAUGGCUCACCAAGUCGAUGAUGCGUAGUUGUACUGAGAGGUAGAACAACCACAAUGGAACUGAGACACGGUCCAUACCUCUACGGAGGGCAGCAGUAGGGAAUUUUCCACAAUGGGCGAAAGCCUGAUGGAGCAAUGCCGCGUGAACGAUGAAGGCCCUCUGGGUCGUAAAGUUCUUUUAUUGGGGAAGAAAGAUUAAUCAGGAAAUGGGUUAAUUCUGACGGUACCCUUUGAAUAAGUAACGGCUAACUAUGUGCCAGCAGCCGCGGUAAUACAUAGGUUGCAAGUGUUAUCCGGAUUUAUUGGGCGUAAAGCAAGCGCAGUCGGAUUAGCAAGUUUGGUGUUAAAUACAAUAGCUCAACUAUUGUUUGCAUCAAAAACUGCUAGUCUAGAGUGUAGUAGAGAGUUCUGGAACUCCAUGUGGAGCGGUGGAAUGCGUAGAUAUAUGGAAGAACACCAAUGGCGAAGGCAAGAACUUGGGCUAUUACUGACGAUUAGGCUUGAAAGUGUGGGGAGCAAAUAGGAUUAGAUACCCUAGUAGUCCACACCGUAAACGAUGGUUAUUAGAUGUCGGUGCAAAAGCAUCGGUGUCGACGCUAACGCAUUAAAUAACCCGCCUGGGUAGUACAUUCGCAAGAAUGAAACUCAAACGGAAUUGACGGGGACCCGCACAAGUGGUGGAGCAUGUUGCUUAAUUUGACAAUACACGUAAAACCUUACCUAGGUUUGACAUCUCCAGCAAUGGCAUAGAAAUAUGUUUUGAGGUUAACUGGAAGACAGGUGGUGCAUGGUUGUCGUCAGCUCGUGUCGUGAGAUGUUGGGUUAAGUCCCGCAACGAGCGCAACCCCUUUCAUUAGUUACUUGAUCUAAUGAUACUGCUAUCGCAAGGUAGAGGAAGGUGGGGAUGACGUCAAAUCAUCAUGCCCCUUAUAUCUAGGGCCGCAAACGUGCUACAAUGGUCGGUACAAAGAGUCGCUAAGCCGCGAGGCCAUGCUAAUCUCACAAAGCCGAUCUCAGUUCGGAUUGAAGGCUGCAAUUCGCCUUCAUGAAGUUGGAAUCACUAGUAAUCACGAAUCAGACAUGUCGUGGUGAAUACGUUCUCGGGUCUUGUACACACCGCCCGUCAAACUAUGGGAGUCGAUAAUAUCUGAAGACGUGUAGCUAACCGCAAGGAGGCGCAUGGCUAGGGUAGGAUUGGCAACUAGAGUU
rnacentral:rRNA from 1 species